rnacentral:lncRNA from 1 species
GAUAAGUUCUGUGGGGUGAUGGCUGGGGCUGACACAGUGUACCUCUUUCUGCAUGUGUUGGAAAAGCUGCAAACUGGGUUUGACUGCUGCUCUCGGGAAGAACCGUCACUGCAAGCAUGAAGGAUCGUCAUGAGAAUAAAGCUGUGAGAAGUAAAAAGACAGUAAGGAGCCAGUUAAUCCCCCCUCUUCUGCAGUCUACCGUUUCUGUCUAGCAUCCUAUAUUGGCUAACACAGAGCCAGCUGACAAAGCAGAACAUGAAUGCCAAGUAAAGGACAGGCUGGAACUAGAAGACAAUAACUGGCACCUCAACAAUACCUGUUACACAUAUAUGUGCUUCUGGUCCUUGCCAGCACCUCUCCUGUGACCCAGGUCUGCAUUUCUAAAGGAGCUGGAUCUUCCACAGUCCUGCCCCAUUUUUUGGUAGCUAUCGUUUUCCCCUAACUUUUCUACUGGGCAUUAAGUACAACUGAACAAUGUUGGGAUAAAAGUACCCCCCCCCCCCCAUGAAGUCGAAAAUCCACUUGUAACUUGCUGACCAAAAACUGAACUACUAAUAGCCUACUCUUAACCAGAAGCCUUUUCAAUAAGUCAACACAUAUUUUGUCUGUUACAUCUACUACAUACUGCAGUCUUAUAAAAAGUAAGCUAGAAAGAAGAAAAUGUUAAGAAAUCUUAAAAUACAUUUACAAGAUCAUUUCAUAAAAAGUCCAUGUAAAGCAGAAGGGAGUCUGUUUUCUCCCCUUCCGUCUGCCCUCCCCCCCCCCCCCCACCGUGUUCUCUCUCUCAAGUAAAAAUCUUAAAAAAAUAAAAGGACAAUUCACCAUGAUCAAGUGAUAUUUAUCACUGGGAUACAAAGAAGUUUCAACAUACGCAAAUCAACCACUGUGAUACAUUACUAGAAGAAAGUCUAUAACUCUCAUCAUUUUAAUAGAUGCAGAAAGAACACUGGCCAAAAUUCAACAUCCUUCGGUGAUUUAAAAAAACUCUCAAAUUAUAGUGGCACUCUUGCCACUCACUAUUGAGCAUAAUACUGAAAAUCUGAGCCAAAAAAUCAGGUAAGAAAAAAAGGCAUCCAAAUUAGAAAACAAGAAGUAAAACUGUCUCUAUACAGGUGAUAUGAUCUUAAUACAGAAAACUCUACAGACUAUGGAAAAAACUAUUGGAACUAAAAAGGUUGGUAAAGUUGCAUAAUACAAAAGCAAUAAAAAAUCUGCAUUUCACGACUUCUGGGAAGAUGGUGGAAUUGGAGGAUCCUGGGCUCACCUCGCCCCAUGCAUGCAACUAGGUAAUACCUGCAUUAGUGUAAAUAACCCGGAAAGUGACUGAAGCCUGACAGAAUAGGCGCUCCACAGCUAAAUGUAGAGAAGAGAUCACAUUGAGGAGGGCAGGAAGGUGGACUUGCGGUCUAGAGCCAAACAGACCCAUAGGACUGUCCACAGAAGGGUGCCAAGGGCGUAGAGAGAGGAAUAAAGCAGAUGCUCCCUCCAGGCACCUCAGACAUGAGAACCUGCCCAAAGACGACAAAUCCUCUUACCAUUUGACUCAAAAGACCAAGGGGGCCUGAUUUAGCAAGUUCUUUCAACCAGUGGGCCUUAGCAUCUAAAAUUUUAAGAAUCAGUGACCUAGGCUCUGGGAGAGCAGGACAGUAAAAGUAAACUGAAUCUCUGCCCUUAAAGAGACAGCACAACUGGGCAGCCUGGGUGGCUCAGGGGUUUAGCGCUGCCUUCAGCCCAGGGCCUGAUCCUGGAGACCCGGGAUUGAGUCCCACGUCGGGUUCCCUGCGUGGAGCCUGUUUCUCCCUCUGCUUGUGUCUCUGCCUGUGUGUGUGUCUCUCAUGAAUGAAUAAAUAAAGUGUUAAAAAAAAAAAAAAACACAACAAACAACCCCACUGAGAUACAGCACAGACUCAGCAGUUCCAAAAAUGCCUGGAGAAUACAGGAAGAUUUACUAAUCUCAGAGUGGGUGCUUGAGGGGCAGGAAUCUUUGGAAGAUGUCUUCAAGAGCAAAGGAGCUGGUGAGUGUCAUCCAACAUCCAAACCCACAGCGUAGAUACAGGGACAUCUAUGGGACCC